rnacentral:rRNA from 1 species
UACGGAGGGUGCAAGCGUUGUUCGGAAUUAUUGGGCGUAAAGAGCGUGUAGGCGGUUUGGCAAGUCAGAUGUGAAAGCCCUGGGCUUAACCCAGGAAGUGCAUUUGAAACUGCUAUACUCGAGUAUGGGAGAGGAGAGUGGAAUUCCCAGUGUAGAGGUGAAAUUCGUAGAUAUUGGGAGGAACACCCGUGGCGAAGGCGACUCUCUGGACCAAUACUGACGCUGAGACGCGAAAGCGUGGGGAGCAAACAGG